rnacentral:misc_RNA from 1 species
AAGACUAUAGACCUGCGGAGUACCUGCGGAAGGAUCAUUAUCAGAGUUUUGCGUCUCUUGAGUCGCGAACCUCCCGCCCCCUGUUUACCUAAAUACCGUACUUCUGUGCUUCGGCGGGCCCGCCUAGAGGGCCGGAAGUCACCUUCCAGAGGGUUAUACACGUCCGUGUUUAUCUCCAGGGUCGUGUUAGCCGCCCCUAUUUCUAGGGGCGCGUGAAACCGUCCUGUCUCCAGGCUCGUG